rnacentral:lncRNA from 1 species
GCCCUGCCGGUGCCAUCCUGCAGGACCGCCCGGCGCGGCCGAGUCUGGGCCGGCGGCGGCUGGGAAGCCAGGAGCGUUCUUAUCGGGCCUCGGACGACUUUACAAGCUAUUUCAAUGCCAUAAAAGUUUAUAGCCCUGCUUUAACUAGGGAGACUACAGUCGUGUACCGGAAACAAUUAGGGAAUAAAAUGAGGGAUAAUUAAAUGCCAAAAUUUGGGCCGCAGGUUUCACAAGUGCUGUAGGAAUUCGGGUGGAGGUUGACACUGCAAACGCACGUGAUCGCAGUCUUUCUGGCUAGGGGCAGAAACUGUGGCUUAUUCAUCCUUGUCUCACCUAUACCUUGCCCAAUGCCUGCUUCAGAAUAGACUCUGACUAUAAAAUAGGAUGAUACCUCCUUGGGUUAUGAUGAAGAUUAAGAAAGUUAAUAUAGGAAAACACUUUCUAAAGUUCCUAAUACUUUGAAACUAGACGUAUUUACCUCAAACCAACUCGACACGUUCCCAUGUAGUCUGCUCCCCUGAUGGGGUCCCCAGGGUUCUGGAGGCUGGGAAGUCCAAGAUCAAGGCAGAUCCAGUGACUGGUAGCAGCUUUAUUAGUCUGUACUGGGGCACCAUAAUGCAGACAAGAAACACUUUGAAAUCUUUAAUGCUCCUGGUGAGAUGAGGAACAGCUCUGUGGCAUUGCCAGCGGCAGAGGAUAUCCAGUCCUUCCACAAAACAUACAACCAAAAACAAGGAAGGAAGAAAAGCCAAAGCCUAGGCAAGCUCACUGACGCCGCUCUCUGGCUGCCUUCCGUGUCCUCCUCUCCAACGGGUGUUCCGGCCCUUUCUCGUGCUGGAGUGGCCAGAUCUACGACUUCAGUUUGAACUUGGGGAGAAGUAGGUGGGAUCUCUGGCUUGCUUUGGCAUGAGACCCAGUUAGUAACAGAGUCCUUCCAGCUUUAAGCUCAGCUCAGUAGACCUCUCUCUGUGUUUGGGGAGACUCUCCAGGUAAUAAUAAAGGAUUAUUUUACCGUG